CUGUCACAGCACCCCAGAGGAGACAAAUUCUGGAGCUCAGAGAGCUGGGAGGGCAGCUGCUAGUGUGACCUCAGCUGCUCCCCAGACCCUAAGGGGACCUGGGACCUUCCACCUUCUACCAACAGUGUUGGUCUUCUGUCCUCACGCCUACAGCUUCACGUGCCCACAGUAGCUCCUGCACCUUCAGACACCGCCUCCUCACCGAGGGAGGGAAGAACGACAAAGGGGAUGACCAGAGGACCUCCAGGAGGUAGAGGUUGAUGAUCCAGGCAGGUGACCUUCGGCGAGGGAGCACGUUGAAAGGCCGUGGGCCGUGCAGACAGCUGGGGGACACCGUCCCGGGUGUGACCUUGGGCCACACAGCAGGGUGGUGGACUUGCUGCUAGAAUUGGGCUCCAGGGCUGAAGCCGGCCCCUCUGAUCUGGCAUUGGCCGGCUCCAUUCACCCUUUUUUGGGCUUACUGCCACAGAGACUUCCUGUGAGUGGAGCUGGACCCAAGACGUCAGAGUUCCGGGGGCACCA
rnacentral:sRNA from 1 species